AAUCAACGCUGGCGGCAUGCCUAACACAUGCAAGUCGAACGAGACCUUCGGGUCUAGUGGCGCACGGGUGCGUAACGCGUGGGAAUCUGCCCUUGGGUGCGGAAUAACAGUUAGAAAUGACUGCUAAUACCGCAUAAUGACUCCGGUCCAAAGAUUUAUCGCCCAGGGAUGAGCCCGCGUCGGAUUAGCUAGUUGGUAGGGUAAAAGCCUACCAAGGCAACGAUCCGUAGCUGGUCUGAGAGGAUGAUCAGCCACACUGGGACUGAGACACGGCCCAGACUCCUACGGGAGGCAGCAGUGGGGAAUAUUGGACAAUGGGCGAAAGCCUGAUCCAGCAAUGCCGCGUGAGUGAUGAAGGCCUUAGGGUUGUAAAGCUCUUUUACCCGGGAUGAUAAUGACAGUACCGGGAGAAUAAGCCCCGGCUAACUCCGUGCCAGCCGCCGCGGUAAGAC
rnacentral:rRNA from 1 species